UCCAACAAUUUGAUUACAUUAAUAUAUCAAAGGCCUCCAAUGGACUGAAUUUGACAUUCAAAUUUUCUGAAUUUUUCCUGCAAGAGCCAAGACAAAAUCUGUGAUCUGGCAUACUGGCUCUCAGCAACUUCUACCCUUCUGUUCUUCCUGCAAAGCAAACUCAAGGGUAGCAAUUCAAGUAACGCAGCUAAAUAUCGUAACCAAGCCUCUUCAGCAAGCUUGUUUGGCAGAAAGCCACAAGUAAGUUUUAAGAAGUGAACUUUUAGUACAUCAAGUCAAUGAGAAAAACAGUAACUCUUAAAUAUAUAACGUCAGGGGUUCUGUUCAUCUUCGAUUGUCAUGGGAAUGUCAAGUGGAUACAGUGGAAUGGCGGGAAAAGCAAAUGAGCUACCAAAGGUGGAAGCUAAAUAUCCAGCCCUACUAUUUAAGCAACAUCUAACUGCAUAUGUAGAGAAAAUAUAUGGAAUGAUCCGUGACAGUUUAAAGAAAGAGAUCAGUCCACUCCUAAAUCUGUGCAUUCAGGUAAAAAUUUCAGUUAUAAAUUAGUUAUAACAUGACAAAAAAAACAUAUCUUUUAUUCAUGGCUAUUUUCUUUAUAUAAUCAAGCACAGACACCAAGAUCAGCCAGAGCAAGAACGAUGAGAGGAUCAUCUAAGUAUAUUCACUCAACCAUAAUUGCAAAACAACAAGCAUCAAAUAUUCACUGGCAAAGCAUCAUUAAUAAGUUCGAUAAUUUUUUGGGCAUUAUGUCCGAGAACUAUGUAAGAUUAUGGAUGUUCACCCUACCUUUCUGGAGUUCUACUUUCAUGGUUAAGGUUACUCUGUUUGCCACUAAAUAUUGAUGAUCUUCAGGUCCCAUCUGUGAUCAAAAGAAAAAUCUUUUGUCAGGUGUUCUCAUACAUAAAUGUUCAGCUCUUUAAUAGGUAAAGCAGUAUAAAGUCCAGUCACAACAAGAAACAUCUUAUACUUAAACUAGAUGUGUUUUAGUCCUGCAAGAACUCACUACUAGAAUUAAAACUUCACGUUUGGUCUGGCAGCUUAUUGCUUCGACGUGAGUGCUGCUCAUUCAG
rnacentral:lncRNA from 1 species